GCCGGCACCCGGCUGCUCACCCGGGACGGCCGUCACACCGGCACUACGGGAAGAAGCCGGCCGGCUAGGGCACGGAGCUCUGGGCUUGCGGGGUGCGGCGCACGCCCCUCCCUCCCACCGCCUAAGGUUUUUCCGAAGCUGCUGGGCGUGCGCCGCGUUUCUGAGGCGGGAGGAGACACUUCCGAGCCAGCUGUGUGACAUCCGUUUACACAGCCGCGCUGACGUCUCGAGGUAGGCGGGUGAGCACAAGGAAACACCUUUCGCUGAUGAAGGAGGAAUAUGAAGCAGCAGUUGCAGAGGUGAAGAGGAAGAGGAGUAUUUGCCAGGAAAACUAGGAUGGACCCUUCCCAGUAUACAUACAGGGAGGAUGUAAAAGUCAAAAACUUCCGUCAAAAUUAAGGCCAACACCAAGAAAGAAAAACCAGUCCUCUCAGACAUCACGACAUUGCCCCAGAGAGGAACCCAGGAUUCUCACACCAUGACACCAUCCCCAUCUGUUUCUCCAGCCACAUUUGGACAUGGAUCUGGCAGCCUAAGCAACCAUAUCCUGGAGGAAAGUACCAGUCUCUUGAGAACCGCUGCUCAGCAGGCUACCCUCAA
rnacentral:lncRNA from 10 species